rfam:Haematospirillum jordaniae strain H5569, complete genome.
CGGGGCGUAGCUCAGUCUGGUAGAGUGCUUGCUUUGGGAGCAAGAUGCCGGGGGUUCGAAUCCUCUCGCCCCGA